GGUGCAGAAAAGGAGUGACCUUGUGUUCUAGAUUUUGAACAUUGGCAUCAAAUGUUGAGUGUGUGGCAGCAAAAAUGGAAAUGAAGUGUUUCCUCUCCUGAGAACAAGGAAGUAAAGAGAAUGGUGAACAGGCUAGAGAAGAAAUGUAAAGGGGCCUGAAAGACUUAAUCACUCCUGGUUUUAUUUCACCUGUCACUAAUCUGUAGUGUCUGUUAGAUUCGUCCUUCACAAAGCUAACCUAUCGCCCCCUGAUGCUAUGUUUAUUGCAUCCUGCACCUGGCGUUAGCUCUCUCCUCACUCUCUUGAAGCAAAUCACCCCUUAUCGCUGUUUGCUUUUCAGAAAGAAGGUCAAAUGCAAAUGACCCAGAGACAAAUAAACCCAGUUACCGGACUGUUUUGAAAUAACACAAGAAGAAGAAAAACACAAGACCUUCAUUACUUUGAGUUUAUUAUUUACCCUAAAACCAUGAAAUCCAGGCUAUAUAACGUCUCUCAAUUCUCCUAGGAAGGGGGUACAGUCCUUGAGAUGCUAUCCUGCUGUGUCUUUUCCCCAUGCAUGGCAGCGGAAUUAAGCCAUCUUCCUUUUAUUGUUGCUAUUAUUAAUUUAUUUAUUGGCUGUGCAGGGUCUUCGUUGCUGCGCGGGCUUUUCUCGAGUUGCAGACAGCAGGGGCUGCUCUCUAGUUGCGGUGUGCGGGCUUCUCAUUGCCGUGGCUUGUCUUGUUGAGGAGUACAAGCUCUGGGGCAUGCAGGCUUCAGAAGUGGCACAUGGGCUCAGUAGCUGCAGCUCCUGGGCUUUAGAGCAAAGUCUCAAUAGCUGUGGUGCUCAGGCUUAGUUGCUCCACAGCAUGUGGGAUAUUCCCGGAUCAGGGAUCAAAGCCACGUCUCCUGCCUUGCAGGCAGCUUCUUUACCACUGAGCCACCAGGGAAGCCUGGGAGAAAACCCAGCAACAGCAGAGACAACUGCAAGCCUCCGCCCCUCCCAGUUCAGCCCCAUCUUCCUGGCCAGGCCCUCACUUUUAGCCACAGUCUCAGUCCAGCCUCACCCUGUGCCUGGGAAGUGAAGAAAGGCACUUCUAAACAAAGCUCAAGUGGCGGUUGGCUCCCCGCCUGGCCCAAAGGAGCCAGACUCGGCUAAUAGCAACGCAGCCUCCGACGACCCUUCACACUCUUCCCACACUGCCAAUGUCUGUUAUUGGCCCGGCUCCCACGGGAGCUUCGGCAACCACAGGGCCUCAGGCCACUCUGGAAGAAAGGACUCUGGUGGCUGUGGAAACUGGGGUCUGGGCUGGGAGCAGCUCUUCCACAGGCGAUGGCACUGGGGAGCAGCCUCUGUGUGUGUGUGUGUGUGUGUGUGUGUGUGUAGACAUAUCUAAGCACAACCCUCAGUUUCUUCAUCUGCAAAUGGUGGUGGUAAAAGCAGGUUUGGACUAGAUCGAUGGUUUUCUAACCUUUGUCUUUUGAACAGCUUCUCUUUUUCGCAAGUCAUCUUGUAUAAAAUCUGUUCUGAUUAUAAAGCGUUGGCAGGGCCGAUGAAGGGCUGGCCCCCUGGUAUCCCUUCCCACCCCGCCAGCCUGGCCUGCCUCAGUGUCCCUCCUCAGAAUUCCAGAUGUUCUCAGAGCAUGUUUGAAAAGUCACUAGGCUGGAUCCACACACACAACUACACCCAGACAGACACGCAGACCUAUACACUAAUGCACAAACAACAUACAAGCACAGACACACCCAGAGGCACACACAGACACCUAAACACAUACAUAGGCAGAGAGAUACAC
ensembl:lncRNA